rnacentral:lncRNA from 1 species
AAAAUAAUAAGAUCAGUUCUAGGUCAAGAAAAAAGCAAGGCAGUAAACAAAAUCCUGUAAACAAAAGGAAUGCCACAUGUGCCUUGGCUGAGUCGGCUCUGAGAUUUGCAUUAAUUCAAAUGUAAAUGUUCUUAGUCCGAGCCUUUUUCUUGAGUCCUAGCUCAAAGUCAGAUUCCCUCCUUAAGCUCUCUUCCUUGUCCUGGCCAGAGGUCAAUUUCCCUCCAAGUUUCUAGAAGUGGCCUCCAAAAGCUCUCCACAAUUUCUGCUGUCAUCAGUGUCUAAUAUGGAAGAAAAGGCUGUCCCUCCAAAUGGGUAUUGCAAAACUGAAGAGACUGAUAUAAUCUGUCAAGCUGCUGAGAAUAAGUGACUGGCCCCUAUGCUAAGAUGUGCGUAGCAAUGAUAAAGAGACAGAGGCUCACAUCCUAUACCCUGCUCUACUUUGUAAGGUGUGGCAUCCUGGACCAGUUGUAUCAAUAGGCUCAUUUUGAAGGAGAUGAUUUUUCUAUCUAAAGGCAAAGAAGUGGAUCAACCUUUGAGAAGCUUUCCAGAUCUUAGGAUGCUAAGGAGGGGCUUCAAGAUUAACAAAGACAAACUCUUUGUUUACUGUUGGAUUCACAAUGGAUCAGUGAGGGAUAAUGAAGGAGGCUUAUUUAAGAACCGAGAUAAUACAUAUUUUAAGAGAAAAAAACCUGC